rnacentral:rRNA from 1 species
UACGUAGGCGGAAAAUUAAGUCAGUAGUGAAAUUCUGCAGCUUAACUGUAGAACUGUUAUUGAUACUGGUUUUCUUGAAUAUAGUUGAGGUAGGCGGAAUGUGUAAUGUAGCGGUGAAAUGCUUAGAUAUUACACAGAACACCGAUUGCGAAGGCAGCUUACUAAGCUAUGAUUGACGCUGAGGUACGAAAGCGUGGGGAGCGAACAGGAUUAGAUACCCUGGUAGUCC